GGGGCCGCGCGCGCCUCCAGGUGCAGAGCGCUUCGCUCCCGCUGCUUCUUCGUCUUCCUCCUCCUCCGCCUCUUUCCUUCUGGAGCGGAGGAAGGCUCCCGGCAGCGAGCGCGCUGUGAUUGGCCGCGCGGGGCGAAAAGCAGGCAGAGCGCGCGGCGUUUCCUCCCGGGGAGAAGCAGCGCAGCGGGAGGGAUCGAAGCCGGUGGCUGAGUUCGUGCCUUUGGACUUCUCGCCUUCCUUGCUUUUCGCUCGCUGCUCCCGGGACGGUAACUUCGCCAAGCAGCGCCAAGCCGCACACAAGACUUGUAAGGGACAGGGCGCCCCAAAGGGCGAGAGCGGACGGUCAAGGUAGCGUGCUCCUUUCUAGCGCGGUCGCUUCUGUAGUUACGAGGCACGACAGACAAGAUGCAGCCAGUCACUAAGUGGUCAGCCGCACCCUGAAUGUGGGCGCCCGGGCUUCUCUUCCUGCAGUGGAAUGAAUUGGCUAAUGUUGGUGACAUUUUGAUGAUCCAUGGACAAGUAACAGGGACCGGUUCUGUAAUGAGCUGCCAGUCACUGGCAGAGGGUGAUGGAAUCAGAAAAAAACAAAGUUGGACAUGUGCUGGACUAUACUUCUUCUGUGGAUGCUGAGAUCCCAGUUUUUCAU